ACGGGAGGCAGCAGUGGGGAAUAUUGGACAAUGGGCGCAAGCCUGAUCCAGCAAUGCCGCGUGAGUGAAGAAGGCCUUAGGGUUGUAAAGCUCUUUCGCCCGCGACGAUGAUGACGGUAGCGNGAGAAGAAGCCCCGGCUAACUCCGUGCCAGCAGCCGCGGUAAUACGGAGGGGGCUAGCGUUGUUCGGAAUUACUGGGCGUAAAGGGCGCGUAGGCGGCGCUCCAAGUCAGGCGUGAAAGUCCCGGGCUCAACCCGGGGACGGCGCUUGAGACUGGGGUGCUCGAGUCCGGGAGAGGAUGGCGGAAUUCCCAGUGUAGAGGUGAAAUUCGUAGAUAUUGGGAAGAACACCGGUGGCGAAGGCGGCCAUCUGGACCGGCACUGACGCUGAGGCGCGAAAGCGUGGGGAGCAAACAGGAUUAGAUACCCUGGUAGUCCACGCCGUAA
rnacentral:rRNA from 1 species